AAGAAAUAGAGAAAUGGAUAUCAGAUCUAACCGAUUACUACAUAUAUUCAUUUAAAUAAGAAUAGGCAUUCAUCUGAACUCAGAAAUGGAAAGCCACUACAAAAGAGAUUCAUUAACCAAUGAACAGACCAUAGAUGAAAGUUUCCAAAGUCGUAACAUUCUUAACACACUCGAUGCAAAAGAUCGAAAUUCAUACCUUGAGAGCAACACAGCAAAGGGGAGAAGAAAAUAAGUUACUGAUUUCUGAGGAAUGAAAUCACCAUAGAACUAAGAGAGAAUAGCUACAGCUCAAGAAAUAACAACAGAUUCACACUUCUCGACGAAUUCCAUUAUUCGUCCAAGAACCAAAGUUGAAGAAGAAAAACUUUAUUAUUUCGUAAUGCUAGUUAAGACAGAUAUCAAGUGAAAUCAUAAAACUUCCAUCAUAUGUUUUUCUAUUUUGAUAUGUGAAAAUGAAGACAAAUGGUAAAGAAGAAGAAAAACUUAAACACUAAUUUUCUUUAGAAGAAAUCUCUUCAGAACCGAAAAUGCCUCUGAAAAUCUUCUCUCAACUUCUCAAAAAAAAAUCUGAUCCCCCACCCCCCCAUGUCAAAAUCCAUCUAAAUUUCCCUUUUGAAAAUGAAUUCCUGAUGAAUGUGGUGCUUGGAUUGAGGAAAAUCAAUCCAAUGCCACACACUCAUCCAUCAAAUCGUUCUCAAAAGCUUCCAAUUGCGCCUUAUCUCCAAAUCGAGCGAGUGAAGGGAAUGAGAAUCUUAGCAUCAAAAACGAUUAUAGAUUUGAGGUUCUACCGUUCGAAUUUGGAAAUUAUUAGGGCUGGAUUCGGGUGCUUUUGGAGAAGAAGAAGAAGCAAAGUCGCGUGAGUGUUUGUUAGGGAUUAGGGCUUCACAUUUGUGUAUGUAUCCGUG
rnacentral:lncRNA from 1 species